rnacentral:rRNA from 1 species
AAGUGGGAAACGAUGUGGGAAGGCCCAGACAGCCAGGAUGUUGGCUUAGAAGCAGCCAUCAUUUAAAGAAAGCGUAAUAGCUCACUGGUCGAGUCGGCCUGCGCGGAAGAUGUAACGGGGCUAAACCAUGCACCGAAGCUGCGGCAGCGACGCUUAUGCGUUGUUGGGUAGGGGAGCGUUCUGUAAGCCUGCGAAGGUGUGCUGUGAGGCAUGCUGGAGGUAUCAGAAGUGCGAAUGCUGACAUAAGUAACGAUAAAGCGGGUGAAAAGCCCGCUCGCCGGAAGACCAAGGGUUCCUGUCCAACGUUAAUCGGGGCAGGGUGAGUCGACCCCUAAGGCGAGGCCGAAAGGCGUAGUCGAUGGGAAACAGGUUAAUAUUCCUGUACUUGGUGUUACUGCGAAGGGGGGACGGAGAAGGCUAUGUUGGCCGGGCGACGGUUGUCCCGGUUUAAGCGUGUAGGCUGGUUUUCCAGGCAAAUCCGGAAAAUCAAGGCUGA